CAGACAUUAACAAGCCUUUCAUCUGUCUCCCUAGGUUGGGAGGCACCUUCCCAGGUGUCACAAGAUGUAAAUCCUGAAGGAGCCUGGUUUGGUGUGAUGUCUACUGGCUGUGCUGAGUGAUGAACCCCAGAUUUGGGAAGUGACCCUUCUACACACCUGGACUCUUAUGAGAAGACUAAGAAAGGGAUGGCAUCGAAG